UCAGGGGCUGCUGUCCUGCUUUCAAUGACUUCUGUCUUCUUCCGGAAUACCGAAGAAAACUCUGCUGGGCUGGGCUCCCAUUGUUGGGUGAGAUGAAGUUUCCUGAGGUUAUUCUUGAGGCAACCUGCGAGCCAAGGGCCUGUUCUCCAGAGCACCGGAGUCCGCAGGCAGGACCAAGGCCAGCUUCAGCAUCCUGGCAAAAGUAAGCUGACGCGAUUCUUCAGUACAGCUCUCUCUGCUUGUUACCAUUUACAGUGUGGCUUGUUUGCAUGGAAGGAGAAGGCUGUUGUCCAAUGGCAGUGAGAAAAACCGGCUCAAAUACAACUGCAUGGCCAUCCAAAGGCAGGAAAUGCAACGUGGAGGCUUUAUGCGACCAUAUAAGCCUUUUUUCUGAAAUGUGCAAAGACUCAGUGGUUGCCUGCUGUUUUUCAUGUGCAGGUUUCCUCGUCCAGGUCAAACUCGCUCUAUACUUUCUCCAGCUGGUGAAGAGCUUUUCAGCCCCCAGUUGUUUCAAACUCUUGUCAGAGGCAGAGCAAGAGCUCCCAGAAGCCCGGCCUUAGGCUCUGCCUCAAGGUCCUGGGGACCAGGAAAGGCAGCUCUGCCUAUGACCUAAGAGGCCGACCCUCUGUAGCCCUAAAGGGAGAUAUGACCUGAUUAAGGAGUGAUGUUUGGACUGGAGGGAAUUCAUUUCCCGUCCCCUGUCCUGCUUGCAGCUGCAGAGCAACUGACAGAAGCGGGAGCAAGUCACAGAAACGGGAGGAUGCCUCCUGUCCUCUGCCAACACAAAGAGGACGAGUAGAAGCCCUAACCUAGAAUUACACACGAGCUCACUGGACUUUUUCCAUCUUGCCUCUUUCUCAGGAGUUUUCUGGCUCAUCUGGCAUUUCAUCCUGCUGAGCGUAACGUCUCCUCAGCGCUUUGUGCUCCACGUUUUGGGCACUAUUGCAAGGUAAAGCUGAGGCAGCACCUUUUCUUGAGAGUGGGGGGAGAACAGUCUCGGCACAAGUACCGACUGGAUGGUGGGCAGGAGAAGCGGGUGUGAAUUAUGUCCUUUGCGUCUCCAAAGAAUCGCCUCUACUCCCUUAGGCAGGAAGUACGGCCCUAGCUUUUGUUGGCACUGCUUCUCCUGGUCUGGAGUUAAUCCUCCAUCCCUAGCUCCCCUAUGCCAAUCCUCACCCUCCCAAAUGCCCCACUGCCACAGUGGCUGAAAACUUGACCACUGACUGGAGCUCGUGCGCGAGCAGGCCACUUCCCAAGUCAGUAACGCCAGGUGCAAGAGCUGCAGUUGCUACUGCUGCUCUGGAGCCUGCUUAGGGCCUGCACAGCUGCAGCCAGCUUCACCCUUCUUUUCCUCCAUGCUCCUCCACAGGCAAAAGAAGGCUCGGAAGACAGUUCUCCUGGUGCUGCUUGCUCUGUUUGCCUCCCUUCUUGGUGAGUGUCUGUAGAGCCCCGAAGUCACGGUGGUUCUUUACGAGAGACCCCGUGCUUGCUUCUGCUUGGGUCCAUGUAGACGGCUGUGGCCAGAGGAGCCCAACUAGGAGCAGGAAGGCCCUGAGAGAGGGCUGCCCCGCUUCCACGUGCCUCAGAGCAACGGGGGUGGGCACAGGGUGACUUGCUUUUCCCCGGAGCUGAAGCUAAGUCUCCUAAGCCUGGGGAGCGGCAGUGGCUAGCCUGCUUGCCCCAGGAAGUGGGGAAGCUUCCUUCAGGAGAGAGCAGCAUGUCCCGGGGAAGGAAUCUUCAUCUCUUCAGAGGCCCCUCUUCCAUCAUCCUCUCUUCCCGAGAAGAAGAGAGGAGACACAAUGAUGGCAUCUGUGCCUGACCCUCAGAGUGCAGCAGGCAGCCCUAUGGAGGGAGGCAGCUGGUUAAGGUUUCAUGAGGCGCUAACAAAGCCUGGGAGAUCCCCGUGCUGGCUUGUCACCCUUCCCAAGCAGUCUCCAGCCGCAGGAGCACUUGCAGCCUGUCUUUUGCUGGCACACCAACUCACGCACAGCUUCCUAACAUCAGCUGGGUGUCAGCAUGCCUGAAGGACUGGAGCCCUACUUGCACACAGCUCUUCUGGCAUGAGCAAGUUCGAAGUGUAAAGAGAGCUUUGGUUUGUGACCAACAGGUGUUUACCACGUGGGGCUGCUGGAUGAAGGAAGCAUCCGGACGACCGCAGCAGCAGCGAGGGCCUACAUCUUCUCCUCCUUUCAACCUAUCUGUCAGCAGGUGACAUUCUGGGUGCCUCAAAUCCAGGCUGCUUCUGCCAGUCUUAACCCAAGGGCAUCAAGGGUGGCUUUGUUAAAAGGCCCUUUCUUGCGGGGGCUAGCGCAAGGUCCACGAGCCACCAUUGCCAGGUCUGUCAGGUGAAGGUAAACUGCCCAAACACCAGUGCCUUAACAUGAAGCUCCUGGUAUAGGGCACAGCUGAAAAUGGACCGCUGUUAUGCACGUGGUUACCUCAAAGUACUGGGUUGUUUCUGAAAUCUUGAGUCUUUUGGUCUGGCUCAUUCUUUGCCCAGCCGUUCAACACAGCAACCACUAAAAAGUGUGUCUGUGUGUGUUGUCUGUGUGUGUGUGCACGUGCACAUGCCUAAUAAAGCCAGCAGCUUUAUAGUAAUAGAGCCUUUCAUGGUGGUCUUAAGAAAGGAACUGUAAUGACAGCACACCUUGAAAUGGAGCAAUAACCAGUGUGGUACUGGCCCAGCUCUCCAGGAACAGAGGAAAUUCAAGGACUAUGCACAAAGGCAUGUGGUGUAGGCAUCUCUUGAGCUGUCAAGUCAGUGGCCGACAAAUGGUAGAAGGCUUUUUAAGAAUCGAUCCGUUGGAUUCAAGGAAAUGUCGGUGCUUCUCGAAUAGCACAAUAGCCAGUGUGACUUGUGUUCUCUUGCCUGGCAGUCUCUCGGGAUAAUUUCCCAGUGCAUGCUAGCGGAGUAGCUGGCUCCCCGGAGGCAUGGGGUCUGUGCCUGUUUGCUUCCCGUUGCUGUAAAGGCCAUACCAUUGCCCCCACACCUUCCUUUCUGCAGCAGGUCUGUUGGUGUUUGAACUGAACGUUCCCUUACUUGUCCCCAUAGGAGGAGUUUCCUCUCUCUGGCGUGCACGUGAAGACGCAGAGGUAAAAAUGAUUUCCUCUUGGCUAGAUGAUGCUUUAGAGGAGCUCCAGGCCUGUCUCACACAAACUUCACACGACACAAUUCCCAGGGCUCUUCCCACUGCCCUGCCUGCCUCUCUGCUUUUCCUUUCUCCCUAGUGGGCAGCUAUAUCUCCAUGUCCCUUCGAGGCCUGGAGCAACCCCUCCAUGAGCCUUUUAGCUAGGGCAGGGCUGUUGGAAGCUCCACCUUUCCGCUGCUGGAGAAGGGGCAUAGGGGUAGGCCCCAUCCUGCAGCUGCUUCUCACACUCUCAGCCACUGGCUGGAGUCCAGCCACUUGAUGCUCCCAGGCACCUCGAGGGAGAUUUGUUGCCUCUCUCCCAUUCCCAUGGCGUAGCACCAGCCCGCAAGAACGGUGGUCUCUGUCUCUGUGGCGCACUUUUUCCAGGCAAGCGGAUGAGGUAUUAGGAGCAACACUUAGCGAAAUCCAGACCCUCCAAGGAGAGCUGCGUGAGCUCCAGGAAGUCCUCCACGCUCUGAGAUGGAGCGCAAAGGACGUUGCCCGGCGUGCUCUCAACGAAGCCCUGAAGCAGACUGAGGGCAUGACAGCGUGGGUAAGAGACCAUUGCAGAAGGCUCUCCUCAGAGAUUUUUCUUCCCCGCCCCGGCACGUAUCCUAGUAGAGUUCCCUGCCACAGCUAACAGAAAGGCUCGGAGCACUGGAGUGAGCAGCCCCGCCACUCUGAUACUGGUCAAUGGGAGCCAAGCAAACCUGGGAGCUUUUCAGGGAAUUCCCAAGCUCCUUAGGCCAGAGUGCAACAGCCAAGUUCACCUUAGCUGGCCCAGGAAGGGAGCUGGGAUGUGCCCCUUUGCCUCUAAUAGCUGCUCUCUUUUCUGUGUCUUCCCAGCAUGUUCAAAAGUUAAUCGAGGAAGCACUGGAGAAGCUGGAAUAUAACCAAGUCCAGAUGCCGGAUUUGGCCCGCAAAUCAUCAGGUGCGGCUACAGCACGGGAACAACCAAGACAGGGCGCCUCCUCUCUGUGCUUCAGCCUGUGUUAGCUUUCCUUUGCCACGGCCCAUUAGCAUAGCUCCAUGAGCCACUGCUGUGUGUUCCAGGGGGGCUCACGCAAGGAAGACAGAGGGGAACGUCCCUGCUGGAGAUCUAGGAAUACCUAGUAGCAUUUUUCAAGUUGACAGUGCAGUGGGAACAGGCGUCACCGUGGCAGUGUUCAUUAGGACACAGCUAUGUCCGCAUGCCUUGAUUCCUGCUCCGGGAGCACUAAUUGGAAUCCAUGGAAGUAACAGUGGAGGGAAAGGAGGCAGGUACCAGGGCUGCGACGGUUCCCGUACAAGAUGGCUGUUCAAUAAAUCCUUUUCUUUCCGAGUC